rnacentral:rRNA from 1 species
GACGAACGCUGGCGGCGUGCUUAACACAUGCAAGUCGAACGGAGUGGCGAACGGGGGAGUAACACGUGGGUGAACUGCCUUGCACGUGGGGAUAAGCUUGGGAAACUGGGUCUAAUAACGGCAUGUGCAAGAUGAGCUCGCGGCCUAGCAGCUGGUUGGUGGGGUAAUGGCCCACCAAGGCGUCGACGGGUAGCCGGCCUGGGAGGGUGUACGGCCACAUUGGGACUAGGGGACGGCCCAGACGCCAACGGGAGGCAGUGGGGGCGAAGAUGGCACAAUGAGGGGAAGCCUGAUGCAGCGGCGCCGCGUGGGGAAUGAAGGCCUUCGGGUUGGAAACUCCUUUCGACAGAGACGCGGUACCUGCAUAAGAAGCACCGGCUAACUACGUGCCAGCCGCCGCGGUAAUAC